GUGCCAGCAGCCGCGGUAAUACGUAGGUGGCAAGCGUUGUCCGGAUUUAUUGGGCGUAAAGCGCGCGCAGGCGGUUUCUUAAGUCUGAUGUGAAAGCCCCCGGCUCAACCGGGGAGGGUCAUUGGAAACUGGGGAACUUGAGUGCAGAAGAGAAGAGCGGAAUUCCACGUGUAGCGGUGAAAUGCGUAGAGAUGUGGAGGAACACCAGUGGCGAAGGCGGCUCUUUGGUCUGUAACUGACGCUGAGGCGCGAAAGCGUGGGGAGCAAACAGGAUUAGAUACCCUGGUAGUCC
rnacentral:rRNA from 1 species